rnacentral:misc_RNA from 1 species
UCUGAAACCAAGGAUGAUUCACCCAUAAACAAUGAAUCAACUCCUUCAGUUAGUCUUGCAUUGGAAAGAUUGCCUUCAGGUCGGAAGUACUGGUCUGACUCACCCAGGGCAAUUGUUGGAAGCUCUCCAAGCAGGCUUGGCUUCUCGAACUUGUCUUUUCAUGAACCUUCUCGCCAUAAUCACAAAGGUGGUGAUGAUCAAAAUGCUGCUAGUUCAGUUGACCAAUUGGAGGCUGAGAGUCUAUACCACAACAACAGGAAAGAAAAAGAAGGUAGUGGGACUGGUGUGCAAUCCGGUGAUAGAAAUAGUGCCUCUGUGGAUCCAAAUACAGACAAUAAAGCACAAGUGAGAGACAAUUGUGAGAUGUUAAAGGAUGUUGACUCCGAUGUGAAGGUACUUGCACAAAAACUUGAAGAACUGUUGGUAAAGCAGCAAAAGGAGCUUGAUGACCUGAAAAGGAAGCACGAAGUAGCCAUAUCAGACCUCCUGAAUGAAGUUUCUCCAGAAAUUUGUCAGCAGGCUUUGAAUUUGUGUAAACUGAAAGUGGCUGAUUACAAAAAUACAAUGAGACAGUGAUAGCAAUGCAAUUUCACAGGCAAGGGCUGGCUUUAAAAUCAAAAGCGUCUUACAGUUGCACCUCUCCAAUUUGAGAGUGGAUGGUAACUAGCUUAAUAAGUUGUUAUUUUACCCAAAAGAUUAUACAAAGUUUGAGGCGUGAUGACAUCUCAUGAGUGCUUAAAGAUCUCUGCAGCAAAAGGUCAGGGUGCUGGACAUUUGUUGAGAGAAGAUGGUGUGGUGUGAUAUUAAGCUUCAAGAUUCAAGAAAAGAUAAAGCAAAGUCAUGGCUAAAAGAUACGUGUUGAUGAUCAAUUCCAUGGUUGAGAAGAGAUUAUCCUGCAAAAUCGUCAGUUUGCAUAAAUCAGAUUAUGCUGCUUAGGUGAGUGUGGUCAAUAAGGAUUAUUUGUGUAAUACUGAUUCACCUAGGGCUUGAUCAAGCCAUACGCAUGGAGUUUUCUUACCUUGCUUGAGCUUUUCAGUUUGAUAGAGAUCAUCAAAAUUUUGUGGGUGUACACGUGUACAUAUGUUCUACGAACUUUUUGCUUCAAUUACAGGUACAGACUUGUUGCAUCUUGUCAUAUGAUUUUUUUGUGUAUGCAGUUUGCUCUUUAGGAAGGGCUAAUUUCUUUUUCCUAUUGGAAUGGUGUGAAAAUUUGAUUCAAACUACAAAAGCAGCAAGGAAAAACUAGUUGCCAGUGGGUGAAAACUAGACGUUAGAAUCAAAUAGAGAAAAAUAGGGAGAGAACAACACUUGGAGAGAGAGAGGUAGAUAGAAGGAGAAGGAGGGAGGAUAUUAUAUUUAUUUUUCAUUUGAUUUUAACGGAAAAAUACAAAAUAUUUAGAUGGAUGGAUCAAUUUAUUGAUAAAAUUAAG